ensembl:lncRNA
AAGAUGUUCCUGAAAACUGCGUCCCAGCCACAGGAACCGCCACCCUUCCUGCCCUGCCCCAUGUCCAGUGUCAGUGCCCUGCCCGUGUCCAGCGUCAGUGCACCAGAGACAGCCUGAAUACUAGUUGCAACUGGAGCCUGCGAGAUCCUCAGCUUUGUUUAGAAGAAGGAGAGGAGAGAAGGAGAAGAAGGAGGAAUAGCAGUUAGUGGACAUCUGCCAACCACACACAUCGGAUGCCCCACGUCACUUACACCCGUCUUCUUCUUGCAUUACUUCUCAUGGGGUAAAUCUCACUUUCCAACAUGAAAUCCAAAGUCCGAUGUCUCCCAACCUCCUCUGUCUGUGGUGAGGAGGCAGCGUGCUGUGGGCCUGCCCUCUGGAGGCACCCACGCAGGAGGACUGUGAUUUGGGACUGCCACGUGGGAAGUAGCCCCACGGGGAGGCCAUGGUGUUGUCACAGUAACCAGGCACCCUGGGCUGUGUCAUAAGUGCUUCAUGAACAGGCAAAGGCAGGGCCCUGGGAGGGCACAGAAGGAGCCCUACCUUGCCGGGGGCUAGGGGGCCAGGAAGCAAACACAUCCCAGAGAAGGGAAGAAAGUGGAAGGACAUUCACAAAGGUUUGUCUAAUAAAUCAGAUGUUUAAAUUAAGGAAAGUGGAAAUGAAAACUAGAGAAUAAACCCACUUAAGUGAGCUGGGGGAGACUGAAGAGCUGCCACACCCCCGGAGGCUGCCAUGGCCGAUGGCCCCAGAGAGUAGGAUUCACCAGGAGAUGCUCCAAACCCACAGCAGGCCAGACUGACUGUGACCCACUGACGGGGGCGCUCUUCACUGUUUGUUCAAGGAGAACACCCUAUUGUGCAAAGAAGCCAAGUUACCCUGCAGACAAAAGUCAUGAUCAGAUGCAUCUAUCAGAAACCUCUCUAGCUAGUUUGAGCAGGAAUCAGGCACCGACCAGGACUGAAGGAACAGCUGCUAAGCUGGAAGGAAAUGCAGAACAGAACUGGCCGCCCUGGAACAACCAGGGAAGGAGGAAUCCGGAGCCACAAUCCCAACCACUACCUCCAGGACACAGCCUCCAGCAGCAUCCAGGGGAGAGGAGGCAGAGGAGAUGCCGUCACCAACCACCUGGAACCAGACCAGGCCUCACCACCAGACCUCACCUGUGACCUUUGCCUUAUUUUGAAGGGUAAGAGCCCUCCAGGAGGAGCUUCGCCCUUAUUGCCAUCACCUGCAGUGCGUGUGGAAGCACGAUUUCAAACUGAGCUUGUGCAAGAGGAUUCCCACCUCUCCCUUUGGAAUAUUCAUUCCUCAUCCCAAAGAAAAGGUCCCUGCUUCCCGUGGUUCGGGGACGCCAUGACUCUGGAGAUGAUUCCCCUGGGUCUCCUCUUUGCUGCAAACAUACUUCACUUUGUGGGACAGCUGGUUCUGGUGGGGAGUCUGAUGUGACUUGCCAGGAGGGGACCUCCUUCAGUGUCGUCAGUAACCAAAGAGUUCACACCACGUUGCCUCCUGUCAUUAGGAGAAGGCUGACCCUGUGAAACAGCACUGUGCUGGGCCACAUGGCGUCUUGUUACCCACAGUCGCCCUCCUGAAGCUGGGUGUCCACCGAGCAUCUGCCUGGGCCCUGGUCUAUGGAGCAGCCCGUCAGGGGCCUUUGGGGCCUGGAGGUCUCUGAAUGCCUCUUUGCAGCAUGCAUGCCUUUCUUCCCCACAUCUCUGAGUGUGAGGACAUGCCAGGGCUGGUGUGGAGUGUGCAGAGUGCACUUUACCAGGCAACAGUCUAUUUUUGUGUUUCGAGCACCUCCUCUCCUCUGAAACUUUCCCUGUGCCUCUGACCCACCGUUUACCUGUGUGUGUGCUCACGUGUGUGUGCAUAUGUGCUCACGUGUGUGUGCAUGUGUGUACAGGUUAAGGUGGGUCUCCCACCCCUGCCCCAGACAUUGCUGAGCUCUCUGGGGGACUGAAGCCAGAAGAUGCUGUCGACGAAAAUAAUCCAUAACCAAUCUAUAAAUGAAAAUUUGGAAGAGUUUAUUCUGAGCUAAAAUCUGAGGACCAUGGCCCGGGAGAGCCUUUCCACAAAGGAACAGAGCACUCCAAAGAAGGGGGGUAUACAGGGUGGCUAUAUACCCUCAAACAGGAUGUUUCGCAUAUGAUUGAAAUGUCCCUUUUAGAAUAGUCUCAAGGCUGCUCUGUCAGCACAGUGAUUGAUGGACACAGCAGGUAGGUCUGCUGUCUCGGUGAACACAGCAGGGUGGCAGGUCUGUUGUCUCGAGCUGGGUGGUCACAGGUGAGCUGGGUGGUCAAAGGUGAGUGCAGCAAUCAGUUCCUAGCCUAAGGAAAGGUGCUUAAUCUUUAAGGAAAUGCCAACAUUGGGAGGGGGAGGGAAGUUGCACCUUUAUCUCAAGGGCCUUUGUUCUUACCAUAGGGAAUGUCUAAAGCAGAUAUACAAUGCAUGCUCAACGGCCACAGUCAGGCCCUUUUGGAAAAAACAAAGUCAGGCCGAAUUAGGUUUUUACCAAAUGGCUUCCUCAUACACUCCAAUAUAUCCUAUUGCUUGCCAUUUCAAUUUGUCAAUGCAAAUGUGCGGCACUGAGAGUUCAGGUUUCCUGCCACAUGCAGGAAACCAGCUUCAGGAGACAGCAGAAGAAAGUCCACGUUCGAACGGAACAAGAGGAUACUUGGCAAGAAAGAGAACAAGGCAGUUCCCGCCUCUGGUUCGGGUUUCAUUUCAUUUAGUUUCAAGCCCAGACACAUUCCUGCACUUGGGUUCUGUGACACAUUCCAAGAUCUGUUCCAAGAGGAUAUCUUCUCCUGCAGCACAAAUGUCUAAAGAGCAUAGCAACCAUACCCCCGACUGAGGAUGCACAAGCUUUGAUGAAGCUCCCCAGGACAUGCAAUGUGUGCAUGCAAACUGGUGUUCAUCUGAGGGACGGGCGGACAGUGUUACACUGGGACUCAUAGAUCUGACCUUCCGAAGUUAGUAACACCGAGAACUCUGGGCCACACAUAGAAUUUUUCAGACCAGCUCACUGGUGUUUAGAUCUUUGAGCUCAAGUACUCCCCUUUUUCUCUGCUGUAUCUCCAGUGUCUGCAACAGCGGCAGGCACAGAGCAGACGCUCCAUAGAUAUUAGCUGAAUAAUCAACCAUGUCUACAGGAGCGAGCCCUCGGCCUGCCGUGGAGCACGUGUGAAGCCUAAGUGGAAGCGUCUGCAGCGCCCGUCCCCCUCUGCUACCCACUGUGAAGUUAGGCAAGUCGCCUCGCCCCCACCAUUGCAUCGGGGACAUCAUCACCUUCUUCAUGGAGCUGCCUUUAACUUCAAGUGGGAUGGUCCCUGUAAAAGCCAUUCGUAAACUGUAAUGUGCUGAGCAAAUGAGCUGAUAAUGAUGCUAGCUUUAGGACCACAUGGAAAAGGCACAGCAGGUAUUUUAAGGGUUAGAAACAAAAGCUGGAAGUCUGAAAGGACAGAUACAGAACAGAUUUUGAUUUAGGAAAAGUUUAGGGAAAAGACAAGACUCUGUAGUUAGGAAGAGUCUUCAGAGGCCGACCCAGGCCCAGGAGGAGCGGCUCCACGCCCACCUACAGCCCCUCCCCCGUUGUCACUACACCCAGCCCCAGGGGCAUGCUGUCAGGGGUCUGGUUCCCCACUGGCCCCGUGUUGACGAGACCGGGGUGCCUGUCCCCAUCCCCCUGGGUAACCUGUGCCAUGCUCCAUGAGCUUCUUCCUGCCUCUAGCUCCUUGGUGUAAAGGGAGAGGAUUAAACGAGUUCAGUGGUUUUCUAAAGCUUUUAAUAGCAGAACUGUGUUUUCAAACAAAACCCUGCAUAUAUAAAGGUCAAAUUAGCAGAUCUACUGUGACUAUAUGCAGAGAAAUUAUAGUGGGUGCCUUUCGUACGUGGAUGGUCUACAGUGAGUGUUCUCGUUGGGGCAUGGCUGGAGGCCCAGGACAUGCUCUCCCCUGCCCGCUCAGCCCAUCUCUUUGGCGUCUCCUUCAGCACUUCCAUAAAACAUUAGGAUGCAGAGGACACAGCGGAAAUGCCUGAGCAAGAUGAUGUCCCCGGUGGUGUCCUUCUGCUACAGAAAAUUGGCAUGUGUGACCUGACCCUCAGCUUCCUGUCGUCAUCCUGUCCUCUCCCCCCAGACACAGUGCCCUCUUUCUUUGGAAAUGUGCCUUUUAUUGCCCUUGUUUGAGCAAGAUGUCCUGAAUGUAUGUGUGAAAUCAAAGGGUAGUAAUGAAACCCUCUCCAGAAACCGUCCGGCUUGGUAGGCAGUGAGCCCAGCUCACAUGACUGCAUAGCUGACUGUUAGGUUUUCCUUUCUGAAACCACAACUGGUGCAUCCACAGGAGCCCAGGGGGAGCCGCUUCUCUUCUCAGCUAGUGCCACCUGGCCACAGGGCUUCCCGGAGCACACGGUGCUCCAGGCGUUGUCAACACGCAAUCAUGGACCUCCGUUGGACAAACCAUCCCACCGGUCUGUCUUCGAGCAGACGUGUUUGUCAGUUUGAGCUGGCUUAGUGGAGGAAUGGGGAUCCCUGGGGUUUUUUAUUAUUAUUAAAGCUCCAUCCACC